rnacentral:lncRNA from 1 species
AUAAAUAUUGUUGUUUCUUAUAAAUAAUUUAUAUAAUUAGUUUUUUCUGUGUAAAUUUACAAUCAUUUUAGUUAUUUAAUCAAUUUAAUUAAAUCACAUGAAAUAAAAAAAAAAAUCUUAUAUUUAAUUUUAUUUUCAUACUUUUAUUUACAGAUUGAGUAAAUAUUAUCCGAGUCCCAAUAAAUUACUACAUGUUGUAUGGCAUGGGUAACCAUACUAGUAAUAAUAUAGAAGAAUUAGCUAGUGAUAGUACUUGAUCUUAAUUGAAUAUAUUAAUGCCGGCAUAUACAUGAGUUGUAGUAUGAGUUAAUAAAUAUAUGCACCUAGAACUAUAAAUAUUAAUGUCUUUGUCCAUGAGUUGUGUCAAUUAAUAAGUAUGCAGUACAUAGAACAAUAAAUUAUCUGUUUGUUGAGGGAGGUGGUGGGUUUGUACUACUACUAAGGCAUACAUGAUGCUUAAGCGUUUGAAGAAUAUAAUUGAUAAUAAUGUUAGAUGGAGGGGCAUAGGCAGAAAUAAUUAAUGAAGGAAUCCUUCUUUGUUGAGCUAUUCAUAAAACUACCUAGCUAGGUGGUGAAGGUUAGAUAAGUGGGGCCACAAAUAAAAGUUUGUCUAAUUAAUAAGAAGAUGAUUUAUAUUAUGUCAAUUCAAUUUAGGUUGUCAUUUAAUAUGAAAAUUUUAUUAGUGAAGAAAAUAUGUAAGUAUCAUUAUCACCGAUAAAUCUUUAGUUAGGUCUGUUUUAAUUUUGAAGAAAUCCUGAAAUCUAAUACAUAUAAACUUUUAUAUUAAAAAAAAUGAAAGUAAAACCUGUUAGGUUUCUCUUUUAAAAUAGCUAGUGGCUCGACAUACCUUUUGAAUUGUAAUGUUUCCCUCCUAAUCUCCAUAAGAUUUUAAAUUGCAAAUUUGUAGUUACCUUUGCAUUGUGAUUCUUGAUAUGCAAAUAAUUGUGGUCAAAUAUAGUUAAUACAACAACAACAUGAUCAAGUUGUAGUUGUAGUUGUGAUGGAAAUAAAAAUCUUGAUGUUGCUGCAUAGGUUAUGGUUACAGACAUUUAUUUAAAGAUGCUU